CCAAGCAAUUCCUCAUUUGUUUGCUAUAAAUUGGACACGCAAAUGACAUCAACAGGGAAAUUGUAUUUGUCAAAAUCAGCCAAAUAAUAACAAUACAAAAAUAAUUGAGAAAUCAUUAAUUAACCAAUAAUCAAACAUGAGAAGUGCCUGUCAAAUAUGCAUGUACAAAAAUUAAUUAAAAAUGAUAUCCGUCAUGUUCGUAAACAAACGCAUUGAGAAGUGCAUUUAUUGUGUGUUUUUGCGGAAAGAAAUACAAAUGUAAAUUAGUUUCACAAAGCAAAAUUCCAACCAUGUUGAUUACGUGCCGUGCCCAAAACAUGUGAAUUCUGGUUAUAUAAAGAAAGAAACAACAACAAAGAUACGAAAUAAUUGUACCUACAAAAAAUGUAAAUGUCAGUGAAAAUGAAAUGGAAAUGGAAAAAAUUGCAUCAUCAAAGUGGAAUGGAAUGGAG
rnacentral:lncRNA from 1 species